GUGGGGAAUAUUGCACAAUGGGCGAAAGCCUGAUGCAGCAACGCCGCGUGAGGGACGACGGCCUUCGGGUUGUAAACCUCUUUUAGUAGGGAAGAAGCGAAAGUGACGGUACCUGCAGAAAAAGCACCGGCUAACUACGUGCCAGCAGCCGCGGUAAUACGUAGGGUGCAAGCGUUAUCCGGAAUUAUUGGGCGUAAAGAGCUCGUAGGCGGUCUGUCGCGUCUGCUGUGAAAACUGGAGGCUCAACCUCCAGCCUGCAGUGGGUACGGGCAGACUAGAGGGCGGGAGGGGAGAUUGGAAUUCCUGGUGUAGCGGUGGAAUGCGCAGAUAUCAGGAGGAACACCGAUGGCGAAGGCAGAUCUCUGGGCCGUAACUGACGCUGAGGAGCGAAAGCGUGGGGAGCGAACAGGAUUAGAUACCCGGGUAGUCC
rnacentral:rRNA from 1 species